UACAUGGGGUGCAAACGUUGCUCGGAAUUAUUGGGCGUAAAGCGCGCGUAGGCGGUUACUUAAGUCGGAUGUGAAAGCCCUCGGCUUAACUGAGGAAGUGCACCCGAAACUGAGUAGCUAGAGUACGAAAGAGGGUCGCGGAAUUCCCGGUGUAGAGGUGAAAUUCGUAGAUAUCAGGAGGAACACCGGUGGCGAAGGCGGGUCUCUGGGCCGUAACUGACGCUGAGGAGCGAAAGCAUGGGGAGCGAACAGG
rnacentral:rRNA from 1 species